UGGAGUUGCCGCCAGCAUUGCCCUGAGGAAAUUUUAAGUCCUGCACUUGCCCUUCUGUGCUGAGUACUGCAACUUCCAGGACUGGGUUGAACACAAUAAAAAAGUAUGGAAGAAAAUGAACUAUUGAUUAUUGGCUUCUUACUCUCAGAAAUGGGAUCUGUGCAAACAUAACACUCUGCAUAGGGGCUGUGGAGGGAUACAAUAUACAUAUUAUCCAAAUACUGAAAUACAAAGGAUCAUGCAGCAAGAGCAGAAACGUAGCAGCAGGGAGAAAGCAAGGUGACAGGAGAGAUACCUUAAGGCAUAUGAAAAACAUUCUUUUGUGUCUCUUCGGGUCAUAACAAUUAAACUCAUGGAACAUCCAACUAAACAUGACCUUUAUACAUCACCUAUAAAAGCAAG